rnacentral:rRNA from 1 species
GUAGGUGGCAAGCGUUGUCCGGAAUUAUUGGGCGUAAAGCGCGCGCAGGCGGUUCUUUAAGUCUGAUGUGAAAGCCCACGGCUCAACCGUGGAGGGUCAUUGGAAACUGGAGAACUUGAGUACAGAAGAGGAAAGCGGAAUUCCACGUGUAGCGGUGAAAUGCGUAGAGAUGUGGAGGAACACCAGUGGCGAAGGCGGCUUUCUGGUCUGUAACUGACGCUGAGGCGCGAAAGCGUGGGGAGCAAACAGGGAUUAGAUACCCUGGUAGUCCACGCCGUAAACGAUGAGUGCUAAGUGUUAGGGGGGUUUCCCCGGCCCCCCUUAGUGCUGCAGCUAACGCAUUAAGCACUCCGCCUGGGGAGUACGGCCGCAAGGCUG